rnacentral:rRNA from 1 species
CAGUAGCCGCGGGAAUACGAGGGGUGCAAGCGUUAUUCGGAUUGAUUGGGUGUAAAGGGUGUGCAGACGGCUUAUUAAGUCACUUGUUAAAUUCUUCGGCCUAACUGAAGGUCUGCAAGUGAUACUGAUGAGCUAGAGGGUGGAAGAGAGAGGUGGAAUUCUCGGAGUAGCGGUAAAAUGCGUGGAUCUCGAGAGGAACACCAAUGGCGAAGGCGACUCUCUGGUCUGUAACUGACGCUGAGGAGCGAAAGCGUGGGGAGCGAACAGGAUUAGAUACCCCCGUAGUCCCUGUCUCUUAUAC